CGGGGUGAGCGGCAGACGGGUGAGUAACGCGUGGGAAUCUACCCAUCUCUACGGAAUAACGCAUGGAAACGUGUGCUAAUACCGUAUACGCCCUUCGGGGGAAAGAUUUAUCGGGGAUGGAUGAGCCCGCGUUGGAUUAGCUAGUUGGUGGGGUAAAGGCCUACCAAGGCGACGAUCCAUAGCUGGUCUGAGAGGAUGAUCAGCCACAUUGGGACUGAGACACGGCCCAA
rnacentral:rRNA from 1 species